AUGAUCAAAUAUGCUUCCACCCUCCUGCCUGGGGUCCCUGCCCGGUUCAGUGGCAGUGGCUCUGGGACAGAUUUCUCCCUCACAAUCAGCAACAUGGAGGCUGAGGACGCUGCAGUCUAUUACUGUCAGCAGAGUUCCAGGGGGGCCAUUGUGGUGACUCAGUCUCCAGAAUUUUUGUCAGUGUCUCCAGGAGAGACGGUCACCAUUAACUGCAAGACCAGCUCUGGUGUUAGUAAUGAUCUAAAUUGGUACCAACAGAAGCCGGCGGAGGCUCCCAAGCUCCUAAUUUACGAUGCAACCACCCUGCAUACUGGGGUCCCUGCCAGGUUCAGUGGCAGUGGGUAUGGGACAGAUUUCUCCCUCACAAUCAACAAUCUGGAGGCUGAGGACGCUGCAGUCUAUUACUGUCAUCAGGACUACAGCUAUCCUCCCACAGUGAUACAGCACUGA